CUUGAACGCUGGCGGCAGGCCUAACACAUGCAAGUCGAGCGAGCGGCGGACGGGUGAGUAAUGUAUGGGGACUGCCCGAUAGAGGGGGAUAACUACUGGAAACGGUGGCUAAUACCGCAUACUAUCGGAUAACCCAUAUGGGAUUAGCUAGUAUGUGGGGUAAAGGCUCACCUGGGCGACGAUCUCUAGCAGGUCUGAGAGGAAGAGCAGGCACACGGGGACUGAGACACUGCCCAGACUCCUAGGGAGGCAGCAGGGGGGAAUAUUGCACAAUGGGCGCAGGCCUGAGGCAGCCAAGCCGCGUUUAUGAAGAAGGCCUUAUGGUUGGAAAGUACUUUCGGCGGGGGGGAGUUACCCGCGGAAGAAGCACCGGCUAACUCCGUGCAAGCAGCGGCGUAAUUC
rnacentral:rRNA from 1 species